rnacentral:rRNA from 1 species
AUUGAACGCUGGCGGCAGGCCUAACACAUGCAAGUCGAACGAGUGGCGGACGGGUGAGUAAUGUCUGGGAAACUGCCUGAUGGAGGGGGAUAACUACUGGAAACGGUAGCUAAUACCGCAUACCAUCAGAUGUGCCCAGAUGGGAUUAGCUAGUAGGUGGGGUAACGGCUCACCUAGGCGACGAUCCCUAGCUGGUCUGAGAGGAUGACCAUCCACAUUGGAACGGGGAAACGGUCCAUACUCCUACGGGAGGCAGCAGUGGGGAAGAUUGCACAAUGGGCGAAAGCCUGUUGAAGCCAUGCCGCGUGUGUGAAGAAGGCCUUCGGGUUGUAAAGCACUUUCAGCGGGGAGGCGUUACCCGCAGAAGAAGCACCGGCUAACUCCGUGCCAGCAGCCGCGGUAAUAC